UACGUAGGGCGCAAGCGUUGUCCGGAAUCAUUGGGCGUAAAGCGCGCGUAGGUGGCCCCGUAAGUCCGCUGUGAAAGUCAAAGGCUCAACCUUUGAAAGCCGGUGGAUACUGUGGGACUAGAGUACGGAAGAGGCGAGUGGAAUUCCUGGUGUAGCGGUGGAAUGCGCAGAUAUCAGGAGGAACACCAAUAGCGAAGGCAGCUCGCUGGGACGUUACUGACACUGAGGCGCGAAAGCGUGGGGAGCGAACAGG
rnacentral:rRNA from 1 species